GACGAACGCUGGCGGCGUGCUUAACACAUGCAAGUCGAACGGAAAGGCCCUGCUUUUGUGGGGUGCUCGAGUGGCGAACGGGUGAGUAACACGUGAGUAACCUGCCCUUUACUUUGGGAUAACUUCAGGAAACUGGGGCUAAUACCGGAUCGUAGCUCCUGCUGCAUGGUGGGGGUUGGAAAGUUUCGGCGGUUGGGGAUGGACUCGCGGCUUAUCAGCUUGUUGGUGGGGUAGUGGCUUACCAAGGCUUUGACGGGUAGCCGGCCUGAGAGGGUGACCGGCCACAUUGGGACUGAGAGACGGCCCAGACGCCUACGGGAGGCAGCAGUGGGGAAUAUUGCACAAUGGGCGGAAGCCUGAUGCAGCAACGCCGCGUGCGGGAUGAAGGCCUUCGGGUUGUAAACCGCUUUCGCCUGUGACGAAGCGUGAGUGACGGUAAUGGGUAAAGAAGCACCGGCUAACUACGUG
rnacentral:rRNA from 1 species